rnacentral:rRNA from 1 species
AUUGAACGCUGGCGGCAGGCCUAACACAUGCAAGUCGAACGGUAACAGGAAACAGCUUGCUGUUUCGCUGACGAGUGGCGGACGGGUGAGUAAUGUCUGGGAAACUGCCUGAUGGAGGGGGAUAACUACUGGAAACGGUAGCUAAUACCGCAUAACGUCGCAAGCCCAAAGAGGAGGACCUUCGGGCCUCUUGUCAUCGGAUGUGCCCAGAUGGGAUUAGCUAGUAGGUGGGGUAACGGCUCACCUAGGCGACGAUCCCUAGCUGGUCUGAGAGGAUGACCAGCCACACUAGAACUGAACCACGGUCCAGACUACUACGGGAGGCAGCAGAGGGGAAUAUUGCACAAUGGGCGGAAGCCUGGUGCAGCCAUGCCGCGUGUAUGGAGGAAUCCUUCGGGUUGUAAAGUACAUUCAGCGGUGAUGAAGGGAGUAAAGUUAAUACCUUGACUCAUUGACGGUACCCGCAGAAGAAGCACCGGCUAACUCCGUA